GUUUACCUUUGAAAUGUGAUCUUUCAGCUUCCUGCUCCUGCCUCGCUGCCAUGUGUCCCUGCAUGAUGGACUCUCACCCCUCUGGAGCAAAGAGCCGAAACAAACACUUUUGUCUACAAGCUGCUUUUGGCUGAGGGUAAUCGCUGUCAGUGGGAACCAGCCCUCACCUUAUCACUUCGAGCCACAGCUGACGGUGCAGUGCCCAGCACAGACAUUCUGGCUGACCUUCCUCUGAAGCACUUGCCAAGCUGAGUCUAGACCAGACGUAGUUAAGGAAGGAAAAGGCUAAGCUGCAGAUGUUCAAACUGCUUCACUGUGGUGUUCUGAAGCCAUGAGGAAGAAUGCUGUGAUUCAAGAGACUAGAGCAAGCUACGGGUCAGAGUAACUGAAGAACCUUACUGUCAGCUUUUAAAUCUCCUGUUCCAAACCUGCACAAUAUCUCUAUUCACUGUCCUAAACCUGCAGUCACCUUGGAAUCCAAGACACAGCAUUUCUCCGGCAGACCACCCAGGAUGAAAUCACUCCCAAGCAGAAGCAAUCAUCUCACGGUAACUGGAUUGUCACCUCAGGCAAUAAGGACUUCUUUAAACCAUCUUGCAGAACCAGAACUGAGAUAAUGAUCAACCAGACCACACCUUGACCAAGACUACUUAUAAAGCAUACCUCUUGCCCUCUGCCCCAGUUCCUCCUAAAGCUCAAGUCAAUACCUAGAGAACGUGCUGAGAUGUUUAAUCUCAUU